GUGAAAAAAAAAGAAUUAUCUCCAAAGCAAACGUCGAGUCGACAAAGUAGAUCAAAUUCAGUCGAUAAUCGAUCAGACAAUUCCUAUUUUUGAAUUGGAAAACCCAGAGUAAGAUCCAUCAUUAAUCUGUCUUUUUGGAGUUUCCGAUGUCGUCUUCAAUUGAUAAGUGAGCGUCUUAUUUCACAAACUGUUAAGAGAUACUAACCAAGAAACUAUAUAUAACUACAUUCGAUUACGGGGCAAGAAAUAUAGAUCUAUUUAACUUUUUGAUUAAAUUUUAACUUUUUAGAAUUUAGGACAACGAUAAAAUAAUUAGAGGAUUUAUAAUUGGAACGUAAUUUUCAAAAUUUAA